GAACGCGGCGGCGUCUAAUCAUGCAAGUGAGGACAGGAAGAAACUUGUUUCUUCCUUUGUUAGCGGCGGAUGGGUGAGUAACACGUGGGCAACCGCCCUGCAGUUGGGGAUAACUCCGGGAAACCGGGGCUAAUACCGAAUAAUCAGUUCCUUCGCAUGAAGGAACUCUGAAAGACGGCUAUGCUGUCACUGCAGGAUGGGCCCGCGGCGCAUUAGCUAGUUGGUGAGGUAACGGCUUACCAAGGCGACGAUGCGUAGCCGACCUGAGAGGGUGAUCGGCCACACUGGGACUGAGACACGGCCCAGACUCCUACGGGAGGCAGCAGUAGGGAAUCUUCCACAAUGGACGAAAGUCUGAUGGAGCAACGCCGCGUGAGCGAAGAAGGUUUUCGGAUCGUAAAGCUCUGUUGUGAGGGAAGAACAAGUACAGGAGUAACUGCCUGUACCUUGACGGUACCUCAUUAGAAAGCCACGGCUAACUACGUGCCAGCAGCCGCGGUAAUACGUAGGUGGCAAGCGUUGUCCGGAAUUAUUGGGCGUAAAGCGCGCGCAGGCGGCCUUUUAAGUCUGAUGUGAAAGCCCACGGCUUAACCGUGGAAGGUCAUUGGAAACUGGAAGGCUUGAGUACAGAAGAGGAAAGCGGAAUUCCACGUGUAGCGGUGAAAUGCGUAGAGAUGUGGAGGAACACCAGUGGCGAAGGCGGCUUUCUGGUCUGUAACUGACG
rnacentral:rRNA from 1 species